CCGGCAUCCCCGGGGGACCGCUCAGCGCGGUUGAGAGGGAGCGAGCACGCUCCGACCCGCCGAACCUGAUCCGGCUCACACCGGCGUAGGGAGGGAGACGCGGUCAUCG
rnacentral:ncRNA from 2 species